GACGAACGCUGGCGGCGUGCUUAACACAUGCAAGUCGAACGGAAAGGCCCUGCUUUUGUGGGGUGCUCGAGUGGCGAACGGGUGAGUAACACGUGAGUAACCUGCCCUUGACUUUGGGAUAACUUCAGGAAACUGGGGCUAAUACCGGAUAGGAGCUCCUGCUGCAUGGUGGGGGUUGGAAAGUUUCGGCGGUUGGGGAUGGACUCGCGGGUUAUCAGCUUGUUGGUGGGGUAGUGGCUUACCAAGGCUUUGACGGGUAGCCGGCCUGAGAGGGUGACCGGCCACAUUGGGACUGAGAGACGGACCAGACGCCUACGGGAGGCAGCAGUGGGGAAUAUUGCACAAUGGGCGGAAGCCUGAUGCAGCAACGCCGCGUGCGGGAUGACGGCCUUCGGGUUGUAAACCGCUUUCGCCUGUGACGAAGCGUGAGUGACGGUAAUGGGUAAAGAAGCACCGGCUAACUACGUG
rnacentral:rRNA from 1 species